rnacentral:rRNA from 1 species
ACGCACGCUGGCGGCAUGCCUAACCCAUGCAAGUCGAACGAGACCUUCGGGUCUAGUGGCGCACGGGUGCGUAACGCGUGGGAACCUGCCCUUAGGUUCGGAAUAACUCCCCGAAAGGGGUGCUAAUACCGGAUAAUGUCUUCGGACCAAAGAUUUAUCGCCUUUGGAUGGGCCCGCGUUGGAUUAGCUAGUUGGUAGGGUAAAAGCCUACCAAGGCGACGAUCCAUAGCUGGUCUGAGAGGAUGAUCAGCCACACUGGGACUGAGACACGGCCCAGACUCAUACGGGAGGCAGCAGUGGGGAAUAUUGGACAAUGGGCGAAAGCCUGAUCCAGCAAUGCCGCGUGAGUGAUGAAGGCCUUAGGGUUGUAAAGCUCUUUUACCCGGGAUGAUAAUGACAGUACCGGGAGAAUAAGCUCCGGCUAACUCCGUG